AUGCUUUGACGACUUUUCUAAGUUAUUAUAACGAUGGUCAAAUGGACUGUCUGUUGUGGAUUACACGCAUAAUAACAUUAUUUAAAACCGUUUGAUUUAUUGCAAAUACAAAUUUUAUAUUGUUAAAAGGAGAUAUGAGGUGAAGGUCAAUGAGACGGCAGUUCAAUGACAUUUACAGUCAUUAUUAUUUGUUCUAUUGUUGUACUGUUACACAACUGUCAUAGCUUAGGAGAGGAUAUGGCGACAAUCAAUCAAUUUAACCUCGCCCCAUUUUGUUAUGUGCCUGUCCCGGUAUGUCAUCAGUCUGUAAAUCGGUAGUUGUCUUUUACUGUUGUACAUCAUAUUUGUUU
rnacentral:lncRNA from 1 species